rnacentral:rRNA from 1 species
UCACACUAUCAUUAACUGAAUCCAUAGGUUAAUGAGGCGAACCGGGGGAACUGAAACAUCUAAGUACCCCGAGGAAAAGAAAUCAACCGAGAUUCCCCCAGUAGCGGCGAGCGAACGGGGAGGAGCCCAGAGCCUGAAUCAGUGUGUGUGUUAGUGGAAGCGUCUGGAAAGGCGCGCGAUACAGGGUGACAGCCCCGUACACAAAAAUGCACAUGCUGUGAGCUCGAUGAGUAGGGCGGGACACGUGGUAUCCUGUCUGAAUAUGGGGGGACCAUCCUCCAAGGCUAAAUACUCCUGACUGACCGAUAGUGAACCAGUACCGUGAGGGAAAGGCGAAAAGAACCCCGGCGAGGGGAGUGAAAAAGAACCUGAAACCGUGUACGUACAAGCAGUGGGAGCACAGAGCAAUCUGUGUGACUGCGUACCUUUUGUAUAAUGGGUCAGCGACUUAUAUUCUGUAGCAAGGUUAACCGAAUAGGGGAGCCGAAGGGAAACCGAGUCUUAACUGGGCGUUAAGUUGCAGGGUAUAGACCCGAAACCCGGUGAUCUAGCCAUGGGCAGGUUGAAGGUUGGGUAACACUAACUGGAGGACCGAACCGACUAAUGUUGAAAAAUUAGCGGAUGACUUGUGGCUGGGGGUGAAAGGCCAAUCAAACCGGGAGAUAGCUGGUUCUCCCCGAAAGCUAUUUAGGUAGCGCCUCGUGAAUUCAUCUCCGGGGGUAGAGCACUGUUUCGGCAAGGGGGUCAUCCCGACUUACCAACCCGAUGCAAACUGCGAAUACCGGAGAAUGUUAUCACGGGAGACACACGGCGGGUGCUAACGUCCGUCGUGAAGAGGGAAACAACCCAGACCGCCAGCUAAGGUCCCAAAGUCAUGGUUAAGUGGGAAACGAUGUGGGAAGGCCCAGACAGCCAGGAUGUUGGCUUAGAAGCAGCCAUCAUUUAAAGAAAGCGUAAUAGCUCACUGGUCGAGUCGGCCUGCGCGGAAGAUGUAACGGGGCUAAACCAUGCACCGAAGCUGCGGCAGCGACACUAUG